CGUGUUUGGGCCAUAAUCCUACAUUGUAACCUAUAUACUUAUCCGAGCGGAACGGCGAACAACAAAACUUAUGAAAGUGUUCAUUGGAGUCUAGGUUUUUUGAUACCGAUUUCACAACUGUUCUAUAUCAAUGGAGGCGGAGUCAAAACCUAACAAGAAGGUUCAUCCAGAGGAGUCACCCGACCUCCCGGGGUAUUGUCCCGACCCCCCAUCGUACCAGCCUUACCCCUCAACUUCAGGGGCGGGGCCAUACCUUAUACAGCUACCGGCAAAUUAUCCACCCCAGAAUCUCCGAUGUCCUCCCGGCUCUCAGGUCAUACAGAUACAUGGCUCGACGGUGGUGACAGGAAGGGCCCCGAUCUCCGUAAAACCGCGUCCCCACGCGACAAUCCUGGUCAUGCUGUGUGUGUUUCUGUUUAUGCUGUUCUUCAUUACGCCCAUUAUUUUCGGAGUAAUUUUUGCUUUAAUGUGACAUUUUUUGUACCACCUCCUUAUAAUGAGUAUAUCUUCAUAUACCGAGCCCUCCAGGUAUUGUCAUUAAUUUUAAACCGCUUUAUAAUGCAGGGAAAAGUGUCGACUUGUUUUAUUUUAGUUUUUAUUUCCAGCACAAUAAUUUCUUGACAAUGAUAAAAGACAACAAAUGGAUUGAAUUCAGGGCUAUGAAAGAGAGAGAGAGGGAGAAAAAGACUAUUGCAAGUGUAUAAAGUGUUAUAACUCAAGCGAGGUAACUCCCACGUCUGUGAAAGAUAAGAAAUCCUCACAAUUUAAACAUCAUUAUUAAAAAAAUGUAAAUUGGCAUUUUUAUCGCCUGCUCUCUCAAAUCAGAAUGGAAACUUGUGUAUAUUCCUCGAUUGUAUUUGUUAAAUGAGCAAACAAUAUAUCUCAUACCAGUUAUAUGUCAUUCUGAUCAUUUCCGGUUUUAUUGUUAAUAAAAUACCGUAAAUGGACAUAUUUUAGCGGUAAUUUUAUUUUAGCGGUUUUCACUCAAGCAUUGCUUCACUGAAGCCUUGCGUUGAAUUAUGAUCGCUCUAAUUGUAUACAGUGUAAUUUGUGAGCUAUUUCUACGGAAAAUGUAAGAAUGCGCUAAUCCGUCAUUGCACUGAUUUGUUAUAAUUUGGAAAAAGACGAAAAUUUGAGAACGCCAAAAUUAAUACGGUUACAGUAUUAUUAGGUGUAAUUCAUAGUGAUUCAGUUUUGUUACGUUUUUAUGAUAAUUUAUGGUUUUGUUAGAAAUAAAAUGUUAUGUAUACGUCA